rnacentral:rRNA from 1 species
CCUACGGGGGGCAGCAGUGGGGAAUAUUGGACAAUGGGGGCAACCCUGAUCCAGCCAUGCCGCGUGUGUGAAGAAGGCCCUCGGGUUGUAAAGCACUUUCAGUGAGGAAGAACGCCUGGUGGUUAAUACCCAUCAGGAAAGACAUCACUCACAGAAGAAGCACCGGCUAACUCCGGGCCAGCAGCCGCGGUAAUACGGAGGGUGCGAGCGUUAAUCGGAAUUACUGGGCGUAAAGCGCGCGUAGGUGGCUUGAUAAGCCGGUUGUGAAAGCCCCGGGCUCAACCUGGGAACGGCAUCCGGAACUGCCAAGCUAGAGUGCAGGAGAGGAAGGUAGAAUUCCCGGUGUAGCGGUGAAAUGCGUAGAGAUCGGGAGGAAUACCAGUGGCGAAGGCGGCCUUCUGGACUGACACUGACACUGAGGUGCGAAAGCGUGGGUAGCAAACAGGAUUAGAUACCCUAGUAGUC